rnacentral:rRNA from 1 species
AGCCAUAUCACCCUGCAGCCCAAGACUGGUUGCCCACUGAAGCUAAGCAGGGUUGAGCUGGUCAGUACCUGGAUGGGAGACCUCCUGGGAAAACUAGGUUGCUAAUUUAU